rnacentral:sRNA from 1 species
CAUGCCCCUUAUACGCUGGGCUACACACGUGCUACAAUGGGUAGAACAGAGAGUUGCAAAGCCGUGAGGUGGAGCUAAUCUCAGAAAACUAUUCUUAGUUCGGAUUGUACUCUGCAACUCGAGUACAUGAAGUUGGAAUCGCUAGUAAUCGCGAAUCAGCAAUGUCGCGGUGAAUACAUUCUCGGGUCUUGUACACACCGCCCGUCACACCACGAGAGUUGGUUGCACCUGAAGUAGCAGGCCUAACCGUAAGGAGGGAUGUUCCGAGGGUGUGAUUAGCGAUUGGGGUGAAGUCGUAACAAGGUAUCCGUACGGGAACGUGCGGAUGGAUCACCUCCUUUCUAAGGAGUAUAAGUCUUUCUCUAUUCUAUUGGUAAUGUUCUUUACAUUACUUCUGAACAUUGGAAACUAUAUAGUAGAACAAACAAGAAAAAAAUUAACUCUAACAAUUUCUUUAGAGUUAGCUGUCAAAAAAUAGAUUAAAAUAAUUAAGGGCACACAAAGGAUGCCUAGGUAGUAAGAGCCGAUGAAGGACGUGGUAAGCUGCGAUAAGCCUAG